AAAAUCUAAUUGUGAAUUAUGUUUUUUUGCUUCUUCUCCCUCUCCCUCUCUUUGUCGUCGCCACCCAAAGGAGGCAGCCCCUCCUUGUACUCUCACCUUCAGCUGGUGCCUUCUGCAACCAUCAGAGUCUGGCCACCUGCUAUUAGUCUUCCUCCUGGCCGUUGGGCAAGGAGGAAAGUUCUCCUUGCUUGCUGCUGUGAGCAACCGUCACCUCUUCCAACCCACCUUCGGCCACCUACAAGCCUCUUGCUACCUUCCCUUAUUGUCGGUCCUUAAGGUCCAACCCUCAAGGCUUAGCCCUCCUUGUGCUCCUACCUCCAGUCGGAGCCAUCUACAACCAUCAGAGUCUAACCACCUGUUGUUAAUCUUCCUCCAGGUCGUCAGCCAUCCAACAACCACAAAGGGUGUCAGACAAUAAGGAGGAAAUUCCUCCUUGCUUGCUGUUGCGAGCCACCACCGCCUCUUCCAACCCAUCGCCGGCCACCUACUAGCCGUCAACAAGCCUCUGGCCGCCUACUCUUGUUACUGACCCUCAAGGUCGGGCUGCCUACUACCUUUUAUCAGUUAUCAAGCCAUCAGACAAUGACCAAAAGCUACAUGCAACAACUUCUAAGGUGUUGGACAGCAUCCCCUUUGGUUGCUCCCUCUCUCACUUUGUGUCACCAGGUUGCCCUCGCCACUGGCACAAAGAUGAGCCGAGUAUCCUCUCUUAGAUCGUUUUGUCUCUUCCUUUGGCUAGUGCUGAAUUGAAGACAAAACUUGUGGCUUAGCGAACUCGUCUCAAAGAUAUAUCGGCGUGGAUAUUGAGAGAGUCAAACUUUGUCAAGUUUGCUAGUUGAUGGCAUUUCCGCUUAACAUCAUCCAACAGGUAGCCGGUAGUGAUGCUAGUACAUUUGGAGGGAUCCCGACUGCCAGUCCCACGUCGCUUCCGAGGACGGGUUUCCGGUUUUGUUUAGAUUUCUAGUUGUGAGUUGAACUUUUGAAUUUGGUAUUGUAAUAACCCUUUUGGGACUUGAUGUUAUUAUGUGAUUUGUUUUGCUUUGUUGAGGAGUCUAGCCAGGCCGACCCGCGGUGAGUUCUUUUGGUAUUUUGGUACUUGUUAUUUCGUUUUCCAUUGUGUUUGAUUUACCAGCCGAGUGGGCUGUUUAUUA